CAGCAGCGGUAAUACGUAGGGUGCGAGCGUUAAUCGGAAUUACUGGGCGUAAAGCGUGCGCAGGCGGUUCGUUAAGACAGAUGUGAAAUCCCCGGGCUUAACCUGGGAACUGCAUUUGUGACUGGCGAGCUAGAGUAUGGCAGAGGGGGGUAGAAUUCCACGUGUAGCAGUGAAAUGCGUAGAGAUGUGGAGGAAUACCGAUGGCGAAGGCAGCCCCCUGGGCCAAUACUGACGCUCAUGCACGAAAGCGUGGGGAGCAAACAGGAUUAGAUACCCCCGUAGUCCCUGUCUCUUAUACACA
rnacentral:rRNA from 1 species